AGUGGCAGACGGGUGAGUAACACGUGGGAACAUACCCUUCGGUUCGGAAUAACUCAGGGAAACUUGUGCUAAUACCGGAUACGUCAGUGAUGAGAAAGAUUUAUCGCCGAAGGAUUGGCCCGCGUCUGAUUAGCUAGUUGGUGAGGUAAUGGCUCACCAAGGCGACGAUCAGUAGCUGGUCUGAGAGGAUGACCAGCCACAUUGGGACUGAGACACGGCCCAAACUCCUACGGGAGGCAGCAGUGGGGAAUAUUGGACAAUGGGCGCAAGCCUGAUCCAGCCAUGCCACGUGAGUGAUGAAGGCCUUAGGGUUGUAAAGCUCUUUUACUCGGGAAGAUAGUGACGGUACCGAGAGAAUAAGCCCCGGCUAACUUCGUGCCAGCAGCCGCGGUAAUACGAAGGGGGCUAGCGUUGUUCGGAAUUACUGGGCGUAAAGCGCACGUAGGCGGAUCUUUAAGUCAGAGGUGAAAUCCCAAGGCUCAACCUUGGAACUGCCUUUGA
rnacentral:rRNA from 1 species